CGACGGGUAGCCGGCCUGAGAGGGUGACCGGCCACACUGGGACUGAGACACGGCCCAGACUCCUACGGGAGGCAGCAGUGGGGAAUAUUGCACAAUGGGCGGAAGCCUGAUGCAGCGACGCCGCGUGAGGGAUGACGGCCUUCGGGUUGUAAACCUCUUUCAGCAGGGAAGAAGCCACAAGUGACGGUACCUGCAGAARAAGCGCCGGCUAACUACGUGCCAGCAGCCGCGGUAAUACGUAGGGCGCAAGCGUUGUCCGGAAUUAUUGGGCGUAAAGAGCUCGUAGGCGGUUUGUCGCGUCUGCUGUGAAAGCCCGGGGCUCAACCCCGGGUCUGCAGUGGGUACGGGCAGACUAGAGUGCAGUAGGGGAGACUGGAAUUCCUGGUGUAGCGGUGAAAUGCGCARAUAUCAGGAGGAACACCGAUGGCGAAGGCAGGUCUCUGGGCUGUUACUGACGCUGAGGAGCGAAAGCAUGGGGAGCGAACAGGAUUAGAUACCCUGGUAGUCCAUGCCGUAAACGUUGGGCACUAGGUGUGGGGGACAUUCCACGUUCUCCGCGCCGUAGCUAACGCAUUAAGUGCCCCGCCUGGGGAGUACGG
rnacentral:rRNA from 1 species